UACAGAGGGGGCAAGCGUUGUUCGGAGUUACUGGGCGUAAAGGGCGUGUAGGUGGUUUCGUAAGUCUGGCGUGAAAUUUUUCGGCUUAACCGGGAAAGGUCGUCGGAUACUGCGGGACUGGAGGACGGUAGAGGCGUGUGGAAUUCCGGGUGUAGUGGUGAAAUGCGUAGAGAUCCGGAGGAACACCAGUGGCGAAGGCGACACGCUGGGCCGUACCUGACACUGAUGCGCGACAGCAUGGGGAGCAAACAGG
rnacentral:rRNA from 1 species